rnacentral:rRNA from 1 species
GACGAACGCUGGCGGCGUGCCUAAUACAUGCAAGUCGAACGCAUUUUCUUUCACCGUAGCUUGCUACACCGAAAGAAAAUGAGUGGCGAACGGGUGAGUAACACGUGGGUAACCUGCCCAUCAGCGGGGGAUAACACUUGGAAACAGGUGCUAAUACCGCAUAAUUCCAUUUACCGCAUGGUAGAUGGAUGAAAGGCGCUUUUGCGUCACUGAUGGAUGGACCCGCGGUGCAUUAGCUAGUUGGUGGGGUAACGGCCUACCAAGGCUGCGAUGCAUAGCCGACCUGAGAGGGUGAUCGACCACACUGGGACUGAGACACGGCCCAGACUCCUACGGGAGGCAGCAGUAGGGAAUCUUCGGCAAUGGACGCAAGGCUGACCGAGCAACGCCGCGUGAGGGAAGAAGGUUUUCGGAUCGUAAAACUCUGUUGUUAGAGAAGAACAAGGAUGAGAGUGGAAAGUUCAUCCCUUGACGGUAUCUAACCAGAAAGCCACGGCUAACUACGUG